rnacentral:rRNA from 1 species
GAUGAACGCUGGCGGCGUGCCUAAUACAUGCAAGUCGAGCGAAUGGAUUAAGAGCUUGCUCUUAUGAAGUUAGCGGCGGACGGGUGAGUAACACGUGGGUAACCUGCCCAUAAGACUGGGAUAACUCCGGGAAACCGGGGCUAAUACCGGAUAACAUUUUGAACCGCAUGGUUCGAAAUUGAAAGGCGGCUUCGGCUGUCACUUAUGGAUGGACCCGCGUCGCAUUAGCUAGUUGGUGAGGUAACGGCUCACCAAGGCAACGAUGCGUAGCCGACCUGAGAGGGCGAUCGACCACACUGGGGCUGAAGCACGGCCCAGACUCCUACGGGGGGCAGCAGUAGGGAAUCUUCCGCAAUGGACGAAAGUCUGACGGAGCCACGCCGCGUGAGUGAUGAAGGCUUUCGGGUCGUAAAACUCUGUUGUUAGGGAAGAACAAGUGCUAGUUGAAUAAGCUGGCACCUUGACGGUACCUAACCAGAAAGCCACGGCUAACUACGUGCCAGCCGCCGCAGUAA